UACAGAGGGUGCAAGCGUUACUCGGAAUUACUGGGCGUAAAGCGCGCGUAGACGGCUAUGUAAGUCGGGUGUGAAAGCCCCGGGCUCAACCUGGGAAUUGCAUUCGAGACUGCAUAGCUAGGGUGCGGAAGAGGGAAGCGGAAUUUCCGGUGUAGCGGUGAAAUGCGUAGAUAUCGGAAGGAACACCAGUGGCGAAAGCGGCUUCCUGGGUCUGUUCUGACGCUGAGGUACGAAAGCCAGGGGAGCGAAGGGG
rnacentral:rRNA from 1 species